UACUUUGGAUCCAGUUCACCUCUCCAGCCCUAUCUUCCCCCAUUUCUAGCCAUAUGACCAGUCCUCAGCCAGCACACAAUGUCGAUCUUCCUUAGAAGACCAAGCCUGUGCAGAAGCUGGGAAGUGUUGAGUACUUGACAAAAGGGUACCAAGAACCGCAAGGCUAGUUGAGGUUACUGGAUUGAGGCGCUGAAGAUUAGAAGUGAACCCCAAAAUCUCAGGCUGAUCUACCCUUUGGAAGCCAACUGAGGCCUCAUCUCCAUUUGCCCCGGGGCACUGCCGAACCCACCGCAGAUGCUGCACCAAUGAGGAAUGAAUCUUUAUGUUUUAAGCCUCUACACUGCUGAUAUUUGUUACUUUAGCAGAACUUAAUCCGAAUAAUCCAGGGUUGUUUCUGUUUGACUUCAGCCUUUACUAACACAUUCUGAAAGAUCGUCUUUGAAAGCACCAGCAAUGCGACAUUUCGUUGUAUAAAGGGAGCUGUUAUGGAGACAGCGCAUACCCCACUAGCAAGAGGGGCCCCACUAAGCUCCUUCCCUGGGCACUACGCUCAGCCUCUCAGCAGCAAGCUGCCAUAGCUUUGAACUCUGUCUGUCUGUCUAAAGAAGUGAAGUCUGAUUCCCCUUCCAAAGCCCCAUUCGUUAGUGCCUGACAAAAAGUGCCUGACUGGGCCACCACCUUGCCACGCAGAACCACUCCAGGCUGAUUUCAUGGGAAACCUGCAUCUCUACCUCAGUCCCUUGCCUUUCCUGAUGCUCAAUAGCAGACAACCUCAUCCUUGAAAAAAGCCUACAAAGGUUUUUGUAGGAUAGUUUUAGAGCUAAAGGAGUUAACCUUCAGUCAACAGAGGAUGAGUUCUUAGGGUAGGAAGAAUUUCUAGGAGGACUGAUUACGAGAGUGCAGCUUAGAUGGCCCUUAUCAGAUGUCAGGGAGUAUGUGAAAAAGUUGCCAGUAUAUGAAGAAUGAUUUUUGAAAGAGGCUGAGUAAAGACAAGGCAUUCAAGAAGAAAGUCAAUAUUCUAUAAGACUGAGGAAGCAUUUGAUGGAAAGGGCAAGAACAGAACAGCAAAGAAGAGGAAAUAAGUGAAAGCUAACAUAGCAAAACUCUAAAUACAGGUGAGAGAAUCUGUGUAUAUCAUAGAGGUAGAAAGUAUAAAGAAAAUGUCAGACAAGAAUAAAAUAUCAGACAGAAAAUAUGGAGUAUGCAAAGAAGAGGAAAUUAGGGUUCAUUUUGACAUGUUAAAAAUAGACAAUAAGACGGUACGGAAAGGGAAAUUAGAAAUCAAGGAAAUGUUCUUUCAGAGAGAAAAUGAUAAGUCACAUAAAACAGAAGUGAUGUGUGCCACGAAACAUAACUGAGCACUGAUCACCAGGCUUCGUAGACAUGUCGCUGCAGAGGUUGGCAGGCUUAGCAGAAGGCAUGACACGCAGGGCAAAUGAUAUGCCAGAGAUCCAAAAAUAGCUGAUUGUGAAUUUCAGAGGAGAUCUGAAACAGGCCAAAAUAGAGAGGUGGGAAAAUUAUUAAUUAGCUUACUCAAAAAUAUGGCUUUGAUGAUUAACUAUAAUAAUUCUUUCUUUAAAUCUGGAUCCAAAAUAGCGUUUGCCAGAUAAGCUGCUAAAAUAGGCUAGGAUGUUAUAUAUCAAAGUGACCCACAUUCUAAUGCUCAAUGGGUGGGGGGAGAAAUAAAUUAAUGUGACGAGGAGAGUGAGGCAGGUCUACCCACACAGUCCUCUAUUUUCAUGUGUGCUCUGUAGACCCUCUCAAGAAGAGAUAAAUAACAAAUCGGAGAGAAGACAAAUGGAAAUGAUUAAAAAGAGAGAUGCUAUCGGAGGUUAGUUAAUAAGCCUAGGUGCCUUAUGCAGAUGGCAUCAUUUUGACAAUAGUGGACAAACCAAAGAUGAAAAUAUUUCAGAUCUACAAAGGGCACUCCAGGAAAGCUGAAGCAAGAGGCACAGUGCUCUCAAAGGAGACAGAGGGAGGUGAUAUUGAAAAUCUCAACGUGCAGGCCAGGCCACUGGCAAUGCCUGACUUGCUUCGGAGAGGAAGAAGGCGCAAAAUGGCAUUCGUGCAAUGGAAAUAAGAGAACAGAAGAUGAAAAUAAACAGAGGGGAUUUGAACAUGAUUUGGAAGCAGGAUCUGUAUAAUUAAGCAUUGCCAGGGCCAAUGCGUGUUUGCACAUCACAGCUCCCACCCCUGCACGCAGCUCCUUCAUGAAGGAGUCCUUUCAAGGUCCUCCUAGCACAACAGGGCCCAGAAAACUUAACAGGAGGUUUCAGAUUUCUCAUGAGAGGAUGAUCCAUGUCAAAGAAUCAGCAGUCAGGGUUUUUAUCUUUCAAAGACACGAAGGCAGAAGGUGGCAAAAACUGGGCCAGAUGAUGAUGAUGCAGAGCACGGCCGAGAAGCAUCCGCUUUGGCAGGCACCGAGCCCCUCUGACAUCAGGCUUUACCAUCUCAGCUGCAGGGCUGGGCCACUGACUCACCCCGCGGGAGUCUCCGUUUUCUUAUGUUUGCAGCCUGAAGUUGCAGUGAGAAUUAAAUGGGGUAACAUUAUGCAAAUGGGCUGGUGGAUUUUAGUGGAAGUGGAAUUUGAAAAUCUAAAGACUCAGAAGGGGGGGAUGGGAAGACACCACUGAAAUAAUAAAACCAUCC